rnacentral:rRNA from 1 species
UACGGCGGAUGCGAGCGUUAUCCGGAUUUAUUGGGUUUAAAGGGUGCGCAGGCGGACUGUUAAGUCAGCGGUAAAAUGUCGGUGCUCAACACCGGCCGGCCGUUGAAACUGGCAGUCUCGAGUUGGAGAGAAGUAUGCGGAAUGCGCGGUGUAGCGGUGAAAUGCAUAGAUAUCGCGCAGAACUCCGAUUGCGAAGGCAGCAUGCCGGCUCCACACUGACGCUGAUGCACGAAAGCGUGGGGAGCAAACAGG